GGGUUAUCAUAAAUUGCAGCAGUUUCUGCGGAAAGUACUUAUAAAAUUCCUCCCAGAAAUUUCUUCUGAAACUUCUCUGGUCAUUUCUUUAGGAGUUCCCCUGAAAAUUGGAGACUGUUAGAAGCCUUCACAUAAACGGGUUGAACCUAAGCACGUCUGAAAUUUUUCUGGUAAAACGCUUUUUUUUUUCAUUCAAGCAACAGAAUGAACGAUAAUCACCAUGCUCUUCAAGCUUCAAGCAUCACUGCACUUGUUCUUAUUCGGCAUAGUGAUAAAAGAUUUCGUCGCCAGUGAGCAACAAAAUUUCGGCAUGCGAAAGUUUUGAAGCGCACGAUUUUAAUGACUACCUUUCAGUUUCCAGACAUAAUAGUGUGACAGCGCUUACUCACACACGACGAAGACGAGUCAGUCAGUCGCUAAUGAGAACACUUAAUUAUCCAUAUCGUAUAGCCCACUUUGCCACAUAAACCACACUCGGCGCAACUUCCACCCUAUCAUCACAUCAUCGUUCAUCCGUCGUCGUCGUCAUUUGCAUACUCUCAUCAGAGCAGUUUGUAGUUUGUGCACUGGCACACUACAAAACCUCCGUAAAAUAUAUGAAGGCAUCCAACCGGCCUGGUACUACUUAGUGCUACAUUAACUAUAACACAUCGCCACCAUCAUCAUCGUCAUCGUCGUCGUCGCAGUCUUCGCCGAAUUGGGAACAGUUCAAGCCUCGGAGCGCAGCAGUUUCGUCUGCAGACCGGCUCGAUGCUUGGGCGGCGCUCGAGUAUUAAAUCAUUAUCCCGUCCCCUAGCAAUGACUUUUCCAUCUCCGCGUAGCAUGAUGGGCGGGAAAGGUGAUGCAAAAUUAUUAUAGAGAUGCAAUUUCCGCUUUCCGUUCAGGGCCGCUUCGUUGGUUGGUUCGAGAGCACCUGCCUCGCAAGUCGUGCACCCAUAUCCAGAGCAGCCACAUACAGGGUUGUAUACGAAAAAAAAAUUUGGCACCCCCUCGUUUAUUUUUAAACCGCAAGGCAAUGGAACAAGUUUGUUAACUCAAAAAACAGUAUAUUUUUGGAACUAUUUUUUAAGCUUUCAGUCCUAGUAAAAUACUUUGAGGUAGCAAAAUAAACGAGGGGGUGCCAACUUUUUUCGUGUACGGAAUACAGGUAAUGUGGCAGCUCUGCCCAUAUCUCAAGUAGGACACCGUUCAAUAUCUCUAGGUAGGUACCUGAAACCGCUGAGCUACGAUAUGCACAAGCACAACACACUGAUAUGAGUUGACACUCGCUCGUGUUUGAAAGACGCGCGCAAGAGACCUUAUCAGCGCUGUACCCCGUCACCGUUCGCGAAGGUGAUGCAUGCACCCAUGGAUGGAUGUCUUUGCAAAGGUAUCUAAUCUGCGCUGUUUUAGUUUGCUGUAAAUGCGCAACAAAUGAUUCACACGUGAUUUCAGUCGAUAACGGCUGCAUUAGCUGGCGGAUCUGAGAAAUUUUCACGAUUGUUUGGUAUGAAAUCUACAAACAGAACCGACGAAUGUAUCGCCUAUUUGUCGGAAAAGUUUUCAAAACUUGCUUUGAAAUGAUCCAAAUAAUUGUCGGAAAUCUUUCUUUUAUCGGCAGCGAAAUCAAUUUUUCUCGGCGGUUGGAUCAAAGCUCGAAGAUCUAAGCAGAGUCAUGCAAGAGGCCUUUAAAAACGGAUUUUGCCUACCAUCAUCAUCUUAGUUCGACGAGUCUAUUCCACCAACAAUGAAGAAAUUUGCAGCUCUGAUUUUAGUGUUGGCGGCCCUGCUUGCCCUUGUCCAGAUUUCGGCCGCUGACGACGUUCAGUCGGGCUUCCUGAGAGCUAUUCAUAAAUUCUUGAAAGCCAAUAGACACCGUCGUCAGACGUUCGGAGAUACCUCCAACUACGACAUGGACUUUGAGAAGUUGCUGAAUAUGAUGAAGUCGUUGCAGUCCUGAUGGAGAUGGGUGCUAGAGGGGCAAAAGUCGGCGAUGCAACCGGCUCAAUUACCAACGUUGUAAUGUACGGCGUGUUAUUAUAUGAGACUUUCGAAUAAAAGAUUCACUGAUCCAGUAGCAUAA